UGAGGCAGGAGAAUUGCUUGAACCCAGGAGGUGGAGGUUGCAGUGAGCCAAGAUUGUGCCACUGCACUCCAGCCUGGGUGACAGAGCAAGACUCCAUCUC
rnacentral:miRNA from 1 species